rnacentral:lncRNA from 1 species
GGAUGGUCUCGAUCUCCUGACCUCGUGAUCCGCCCGCCUCGGCCUCCCAAAGUGCUGGGACGACAGGCGUGAGCCGCCGCGCCCGGCCCCCAACAGAUGCAGGAGUACGGAAUCAGAUGCCCACAAAGUGCAGAGACAUGUUUCUGAGUGUUACCGGGAGCCAGCCAGGCAGAGCUGCAGUGUGGGAGCCCGGCCUCAGAACGGGACACCCCACCAUCGAUCAGGAGACUGGCUUCUGCCCAUCUGCUCUUUAAGCCUGUGUCUCAGAUGGUGUGAAAUAGGGAUCACCCUGAGAGAAAGCUGUCACUGCAAGAUUCCGGGAUACACUGCCUUCAUUUUUAUAAAUGCAUGCAAUUAGCUAUGACUUUUAAAUUGGCACCAUGGUGAACAAGCAUGUCUCAAGCAUACAUGCCAAGUAUUACAAGCCGUUUUUCAAUGGCUUCAACUUCCUCAGCUCCAAAACCUUGGAUCUCACUCCAACUCAGCAUCUACUAUUAUGUUCUGUGUCUCCAUUAUAUUAGAUUUGCAGGAGGUUAACGAGAAGCACAGCACAUAAUUCACAUGAAUAGGCUUUGAAACCUAAGUGUGAUGAAAAGUAUUAUUAUUACUGUUAUGCAAAGUCCUUGCAGCAAAAAUUACAUUAUCCUUUUUCCAAAUAUAUUGUGAACCUAUUGCUGCGCUAGAAUUCAGAUCUAGGCUUUCUUAAAACUCCAUUUGUGAUGCUUGCACUUACUUCAUAAACUUCCUUGGGUAUGAAAACACUUAAGUUUUCUUUUCUCCCCAAUGCCCCAGGCAGUUGACAGGUGGAUAAUGACAUCAACAGGCAGGUGGCCAUCAAAGACUCAGGGUAGGUGUGUUUUUGUGAGACCCCAGGUGGUUGAUUUCUGU